rnacentral:rRNA from 1 species
CCUACGGGAGGCUGCAGUGAGGAAUAUUGGUCAAUGGGAGGAAUCCUGAACCAGCCAUGCCGCGUGCAGGACGACGGCUCUACGAGUUGUAAACUGCUUUUGUACCGGGGUAAAAUGCUCUACGAGUAGGGUUUUGAAAGUACGGUACGAAUAAGGAUCGGCUAACCCCGUGCCAGCAGCCGCGGUAAUACGGAGGUUCCGAGCGUUAUCCGGAUUUAUUGGGUUUAAAGGGUGCGUAGGUUGUUUUAUAAGUUAGCGGUGAAAUACCGAUGCUCAACCUCGGGGCUGCAGCUGAUACUGUAGGACUAGAGAUCGGAUGCAGCAGGCGGAAUGUGUAGUGUAGCGGUGAAAUGCAUAGAUAUUACGCAGAACACCGAUUGCGAAGGCAGCUUGCUGGGCCGGAUCUGACGCUGAUGCACGAAAGCGUGGGGAUCGAACAGGAUUAGAUACCCUAGUAGUC